GACGAACGCUGGCGGCGUGCUUAACACAUGCAAGUCGAGCGGUAAGGCCCUUUCGGGGGUACACGAGCGGCGAACGGGUGAGUAACACGUGGGUGACCUGCCCUCAGCUCUGGGAUAAGCCUGGGAAACCGGGUCUAAUACUGGAUAUGACUCCAUGACGCAUGUUGUGGGGUGGAAAGCCUUGUGCGGCUGAGGAUGGGCCCGCGGCCUAUCAGCUUGUUGGUGGGGGAUGGCCUACCAAGGCGACGACGGGUAGCCGGCCUGAGAGGGCGACCGGCCACACUGGGACUGAGACACGGCCCAGACUCCUACGGGAGGCAGCAGUGGGGAAUCUUGCGCAAUGGGCGAAAGCCUGACGCAGCGACGCCGCGUGAGGAUGACGG
rnacentral:rRNA from 1 species